CUCCACACGAUGUUUGUCGCUACUGCCCGCAUCACUCUCCUCACACAAUCCCCUGGAUUUGCCCCACCAAUAAGGCUGAGAUGGUGAAUCUGUGAAACAUCAUGGUUUGGCAUGCAGGCAGGCUUGGUUUGGAAACUGCUCUACAAUGUCCAAUGGGUGGCUCAAGAAGGGAGACAUUUGGAUGUCCUCAGUCUCCUGACGUCUGGUCACUUCAACACAAUGUGUCAUUGGUGCGUACAGUGAGGUUGUCCACCUCUGGGUCUUCAUCUGUUUAAAGAUUUCCUCAUUUGGCUGGUUUGGAAGGACCGAGUGUCAGCAUUACAGGAAAGGCACCGAUGGCUGAAAGCUGGUGAAUGACACAAGUGUGUUUCCUCUAUAUGCAUUAAUCAGUGUCGUAGUUGAAUAGAGCAUAUACAUACUCAAUCCAACACACACACACACACACACACACACACACACACACACACACACACACACACACACACACACACACACGUGUGUGAGCACAACAGAUAAACAGGAUAUCUGACAAGGAAGAGCAGAAGGGGUUUUACUUAAUUUCUUUACCAGAGGCAGAUGAAAUACAACACAAGUACCAGAGUUUAGUUAAACAUGAACGUUUCGGAGUGUCCAUGGAAAAGUGCAAAACCAAACUAACUGGCUACUAGUUAAUCCUGUUUGACUAUGUAGGACACGUGCUGAAUAAAUUCUUAAAACUGCAAAUAAUAAGUAAGGGAUUAUGUAGAGCAAGGCGGUUGUUAUAGCGAAUUCAACCCCGACAGGCUGAUCAGGAGGAAGCGGAGGGGUCUUGAAUCAGCCUGAAGGGGUUGUAUUCACUAUAACAACUGCCUCGCUCUACAUUAUCCCGCUUAUUACAUGGCUACCUACCAAAUAAAUAAAUAAUUUGACACAAAAUAUUGAUUUAAAAAGGAGUUUGAUUUAAAAACGAUUGUAUAGCUUCUGCUAAAGAAAAUAGUCUGUUCCGUCUCUACGGUUAGAAUCCUGCGUGUCCAUGGCAGUGUUCUGCUUUGCAUGGCAACGGUGUGUUAUCCUUAGAGUAAAUUUUAUAUAGGUUUAUUACAAGCCAUGUAAUAAACCUAUAUAAAAUGUACUCUAUAUUACAAGUGACACAUUCUUUUUUUAUAGGAAUAGUGCAACCAAAAUGGAAAUUCGUUCAUUAUUUACUUCCCAUGUCACUCCAAACAUGUAUGCCUCUGUUUCAUGGAACACAACACCGUGAGAAGAUCGACAAAGCCCUUAAGAGUAAAAGCUGUAAUAAUUUAUCAGUUAAUUAUUAUUAUUAUUAUUAUUUUUUUUUAUCUUAAUUACUUUUAUUAUCUAAAUAAUUGCCAAGUGAAAUCAACAUUACAGUGUUUGCAACAUGCUUCUAAUUUAUAUACCCCUUUACUGUUAAAGCUACUCACCAAGGCUCUCUCAGUUUUAAAUGGACUUCCCAUGAGACCGGAGUUUACAGCUCUUUCUGUUGAAUGUUUUUUCUCACUCUUGUGUGCAUGAAGCUGGAACUAUUUGGCUCCAAAAUGCAGAUCUCAGCUCCUCCGCAGCCAGUUAUUUCUUUUUUUUAAUGCUGUAACACAACUUUGUUCUGUUGUUCCAUUUGUUCCUGUUUUAAUAAAACUUUUAA